rnacentral:rRNA from 1 species
AGUAUUAAAGGUCAUGCCUGCCCAGUGAAACAUUUUUAAACGGCCGCGGUAUUCUAACCGUGCAAAGGUAGCGUAAUCAUUUGUCUUUUAAAUAAAGACCAGUAUGAACGGCUAAAUGAGGACAAACCUGUCUCCUACAACCCAUCAGUGAAACUGAUCUUCCAGUCCAAAAGCUGGAAUACUAACACAAGACGAGAAGACCCUGUGGAGCUUAAAAUUCAACUACUAAUAAAACACACCAACUAGUAUUAAAUUUUAAGUUGGGGCGACUUCGGAACAAAACAAAACUUCCGAGCACAGAACCACCCUUUCUAACCAAGGCAAACAGGCCAAAGAAAAACUUGACCCAGUCAUACUGACCAACGAACCAAGUUACCCCAGGGAUAACAGCGCCAUCUUCUUCAAGAGUUCCUAUCGACAAGAAGGUUUACGACCUCGAUGUUGGAUCAGGGCACCCCAAUGGUGCAACCGCUAUUAAAGGUUCGUUUGUUCAACGAUUAACAGC